AUUGAACGCUGGCGGCAGGCCUAACACAUGCAAGUCGAACGAGUGGCGGACGGGUGAGUAAUGUCUGGGAAACUGCCUGAUGGAGGGGGAUAACUACUGGAAACGGUAGCUAAUACCGCAUACCAUCGGAUGUGCCCAGAUGGGAUUAGCUAGUAGGUGGGGUAAAGGCUCACCUAGGCGACGAUCCCUAGCUGGUCUGAGAGGAUGACCAGGCAAACUGGAACUGAGAAACGGGCCAUACGCCUACGGGAGGCAGCAGUGGGGAAUAUUGGACAAUGGGCGGAAGGCUGAUGGAGCCAUGCCGCGUGGAAGGAGAAGGCUUUAGGGUUGUAAAGGUAUUUCAGCGGGGAGGCGUUACCCGAAGAAGAAGCACCGGCUAACUCCGUGCCAGCAGCCGCGGUAAUUC
rnacentral:rRNA from 1 species